AUCCAAUUAGAGCUGAUAGAAAGCCUUUCNUUUACCCUGAAAAUUUAAUUGUGCCAUUCMGKUUAAUUUGAU
rnacentral:tRNA from 1 species